UCUCCACAUCCAGUCAGUCUCCAGGUCCCAGUGACCCACCUCAACGCUGGUUGGAACCUGCUCAUUCUCCAUCUCCACUGUGGGCGCAUUGAUCGCGUUGCCUUGUCUCACCUAGAUAGCUGCAGUAGCCUCUAGCUUUCCUCUGGUGGUGUUCCCCCAUUCUGUUCUUCACAGAGCAACCAGGGUGAUCUUUAUAGGGGACAUCAGUCUUUUGCUUUUUAGACUCCAGUUUCUCCCCAUUAUCCUCAGAAUGACCACCAAGGGCCUUCAUGAUCUGGCUUUAUUAACCUCUCUUCCUGGUCUCCUUUUCCACACACCACAGGUUCUGCAGUUCACAGAUGAAGACGAUUUCCUCUCCCCUGAGUGUGCUGUGCUCUCUCUUGGCUCCAGGCUGUUGAACAUGUUGUUCCCUCCACCUGGAAAGCUUCCGUUUCACUCCCUGGCCCUUUACCUGAGCCUUAUUCAUGGUUUAAGUUUCAGUGGAAAUAGCACAGCUCUCAGGAAGCCUUCUCCAAGUCCCUGGGGCCCAGGAAUGAUGCUCCUCAUCUACGGCCACUUGGUCCCAAGACUUGCCUCUGGUCCAGCGCUCCCAUGGGCAUGGUCCUCGCCUACGCACAAGGAGACCUGGAGGGCAGGGGCUAUGUUUUGCUUUUGUUUUGUCGUCAGUACUGGGUGCCUGGCACAUAGAAAGGUGCUUACAAAGGUUUGGAAUUGAUCAAAAUCGGUCGGAGAACUUCAUUUUACCCUUGGAUUUCCUAUGCAUAUAAUUCAACGGGAACCUCCCUAUUUUAUUGAAAGCAUAUGACAGACCAAAACGCCACAGAUAUGAAAGAAAGGUAAGUAAUCCAUUAUUAAAAAUAGCUUUUACCUGAGCCUGCUGCUGUGCAAAUCCUAAAACAAGGUAGGUUUGUUCUCCUGAGACCGUGGGUUAAAAGGACUGCAUCAUUGAUUGUGGCUUAAAAAGGUUCUCUCAUCAAGCAGAGUAUGUGUGUCUCUCUCUCCCAGAAUUAAUUCUCGAUAUGACUCCAGCUGAUGGAAAUGCAGCAUCUUCAGGAGCCAGACCGCUUCGUUAUACUCUUAGGGUUCUUGCUUAGCAACUGCUCAUUCCCAUUCCUAGAUAAUAACAGCUAACUCUAAGUCCUGCUUACUAUGUGCCAGGCACUGUUCUAAGCACUGCGCAUAUAAUAACGCACUAAACCUUUACAAGAACUUUGUGAGGUAAUUACUAUUAUUAACAUUAUUAUGCCCAUUUUAUGAGUAAGGAAACAAGCACAGAGAGGUUAAGUAACCUGCCUAACGUUACAACAGAUAAAACAUGGUAGAGCUGGGAUUCAAACCGGGGCAGUCUGGCUUCAGAGUCUGUGCUCUUAAUUACUAUGCUACAUUGCUUCUUAACCCUGAAAUCAACACUUGAACUUUAAAAAUCAGCUCUAGAUGCAACAGCUGAUACUGGGUUGAGGAUCGCAUUGUAGGGGUCACUGUGAACAAGAGACCCUUCCCCCAGGUGACAGCAAAUGAUGAGGCUAAGGCCAGUGGCUCAACACCUGAGCCCCAAGCCUUGGGGAUCCCCUGCCAAGCGCAGUGGUGUGCUAGAGCAGGCUUCUACUGCUUAGGACACAACCACCAAUUGUUAACCAGUCAGGAACGCUGCAUCCAGUGUUAGACUGUCGAUGGCUUGAAAUCAGCCACACUAGGAGUAUUUACACCACAGAAAUUGGCAAACACUACAAAUCAGAGACCAUAUCCCCAAACACUGUCCCUGCUGGAGGAUGCUGAUGGAGGAUUUCAAUCAUCUUGACUGAAAGAGCCUAGUGUGAGGCUGGAGAAUGUUUUUUACUUUCCCAGGGCCUGGCUGAGCUGGCCUGGAUUAGAUCUAUAAGAUGUUUUCAAUUGCUGGUAUCUGCGUGAAGGCUUUCUUUGAAGGCAUGGAAAGCCACUCUGCCUAAUGAAAGGUGGCCCAGAAUGUCAAGGAAUCAACAUCCCCCGGCUCCCACCAACCCCAGAACCUCUCCACCCAGGGCAGGGAACACGGGUGUUCCUCUGGCCAUUAGUGCGGGUCUUCUCAAGGUAGGCCUUUUCUGUGGUCCCCGGAGCUUCCACACAGCCUUCAGCUACAGUCACUCAGAGCAGUAGUUGAUGUGGUAACUCAGCCUUUAUGUGCUGUCCUCAGUUCACAGGCUCAACUUCCUGUCUUCCUCCUGGUAUUUCUUGCACCUCCCAACUAAACUUGUAGUCCAGUUCUUUUCGGAGAGUGCUUUCGGGAACGCCCCAACUAAGAGGGGCUGAAUGGGCAGUCCCCAGUGCUUGGUGUGCAAAGGUGGGGAGUCCUGGCCAAAGCGCUGGGCUGCCUCAGCCCUCUCCCAGUGCUAGUCCUGCUCCCUGGCCCUUGCUCUGUAUUUUAGAGACUCUUCCAUGGCUUUGCUGGCCCUGCUGCCCAGUUUUGUGGUCUGGGCCCUGCUGCCCUCCAUGCUCCUGGAGGUGAUGGUGCACUGCUGACUGCCCAGCCUGCGGCUCAGGGGCAUGCCCAUUUCUCCAGGGAAGACCCUGUAGCAUCUAAAAGAGUUUCCCUGCAUGCAAGGAGGGACAUAAGCUCAUUAUCAUCAUUCUGACACUAGCUGCCAGGCGUUUCUCUCUAAGCCCAGAGUUGAGAUCGUCUGAGUCUCCUUCCAGGAGCGCAACAUGAACUUGGCAGAAGGAAUCCACAGGUUUGUGUGGGUGUGACAGAACAGACAUCACUAGCAGAACGUUUUGGGAAGCAGUCUGUCUAAACUGGACUUUUCCCGGGCCCGGCAGGGAGCAGAGAGCAUGAGCCGAUACGUUUGAUUGUGGCGAUCCCCUCUAUCCUUUAGAUUGCUUCCAACUCAGAGCUAAGGCCUGCGCUUGGCUGGAGGAGUGCUCAGCGCUAACAGCACGUUUUCAUUCUCCAGAACAGCCAAGAGGGGAAGUGCGGGAGGAAUUGAGGAGUCAGGGCUUCCGAGCCACUCUGACCCAAGAGCCCAGCUGGAGGGACAGGCAGGGGCGUGGCUCCCUCCCAAGCCACUGGAGCUCUACCCGCCCUGUCCUGUAUCACUCCCAUUUCUCCAGAGCCUGACUUCUAAAUGUACAUUGUGUAUUUUGUUAAGUCCUGUGUUUGUUUUCUGACUUUGGUAAAAAGCUGUAGGUGGGAGCAAAAUGAUCUGUUGAAGAAAUUUAAAAGCAAAUUUAUUCAAGCGCACAAUAUGGAGUUAUUUCACAUCCUGGGACAAAGGAAAAGUGAGCACCAAGAGGGAAACUGACUGUGGCCUGUGGGCAGCAGAAGUUAACACCAUAUUCACUGUAAGAAUUGAACUCACUGCAGUUACCAGGAGUGUUUCAUUCCUACCUAACACCUCUGCUAGUGAAAUAUAGCAGACACAAGUUUAAGCCUGGCACGGGGAGCUUUUCUGAAGACCGUCAUGUGUGCUGUGUUUGUCUAUGGACAGAUGUGUGUUCUCCCUAGACCGUGAGUACCCCACGGCCUCAGGGCCGUCCACUUGGCCCUGAAGGUGCAAUUAGCGAGAGCUCAAGGAAGUUGCUUGUGAGGGAAGAGUGACUGCCUGUCUCCUGCUCCCCUUUUCCUCCUUUUACCUCUUAGUAGAGCCCAUGCCCCAUUUUUAUUGUAUAACUUAACGGAAUGAAUCCAAUGGUGCUGUUCAGACAGCAGAGCGAGCAGGGGAGGGUGUGGGGCCAUCAGAGACUGGGGAGAGGAUCUUACCCGGCGGAGUGUCCUAGUUCCCUUCAGGAAUCAUGCUGUGCAAGCAACCAGCCAUUGGCCUCAGACGUGGGCUGGACCGUGAGUCUGUUGAGUCAACUGUGACUAAAAGAUAUGCUAGUUCUAAUUUCCUGUGACUCAUUAAGAAAGCCUUAUUGGGCAAGCAUUGUUUCUGAAGCCAAAUCUGUUAGCUCAAGCAGUUUACUCUGCUCAUGGGCACGGCUCAAAGAGGUGACUUGGGCCACCAAACAUCUCUUUUCAGUCGCAAGUCAUUCUGGGGCUACAUAUUAGAAAAUCUGCUCGAUUUAUCUUUACUGCAUCCAAACUGGCUGACAUCCUUUACUGACUUCGGACCCUCGAGUGAGUUCCACAAGCAUUUGGGAAGGAAGCAGCAGCUGGAGCUGCCCCAGACUGAGGGCGUUGGUCUCCGCUCUCACCUGGCUUGAAUCUGGGCAGAGGCACUGCAUGGGCUUGAGGUUUUGCUUCAGCUCAAAUCCAGAAGGAGCCACCUCACUUUGUACUUAGCAAUGAUGAAGUCCUUUACUGCGUUCAUAAAUGUCCCCAGAGGCUAUUACUCAAAAGAGUUCAGCUAAUAAAUAUGAAAACCAAUAAUUAUCUUGUUUCAGAUUGCUGACUUGUGUAACUGCUCGAAGGGGUCAGAAGUGUGCAGCUUGCUCAACAUUGCCCCAGCAUCCUGACACUUGUGAUUAUGGAACUGGGGUGCAGAUAGGGGUCAGGGAGCAGAGCGAAUGAAUUGUGUUUGUGCAAUCUCUCUUGUUUUGGGGCCGGUGUUGGUGGGCGAGUGUGUUUGAUAGGUUUGGGUUGUGUCACGCGGUCCUGGUAGUUUCAUCUUUGGCUCCUCUCUUGGGCGCCCUUUCCUUGCAGGGGUGCUGGGCGUCGACCCAGGUCACAGAGUUGGCGACAUCCCUGACGAGCUGCUUUGUGAUCUAAUCCGGCCUUCAGGAAGCAGGGUAAUAUACAUGGAAUCAGACAGAUGUAAUCUUCUGGGACUGCCUCCCUUCACUCACCCCGAUGUUUUGGAGGGUCCCUGUGUAGCUGAGCUUGGUGACUUGUGCUUCGGUCUCACUGAGUGACCAUCCCUCUGCUGCUUGUUUGUCCCUCAGAGAAGGAGAGCUGCACUGACUGCCUGACCCCCCCAUUCAGACUUCACCCAGCUUCCCCGUCUCCCAUAUCCUCCUACUGGGCCCUGUGUAUGUCAUAGAGUAAGGUCUCUAAGAGGAUACUUGCUCACAAGGGAAAGGGGUGCAAGCAUGAACGCCUUCUUGGCUGCCCUGCACCAGGCCUGGGCCAACCUCGCAGGCUGGUGAGGAGGUUACCAACACAGGGACGUGACUCAUGUCGGCAAAGUAGGAUUUGAUUGGAAGGAUUUUCCCGGAAAGGAGAAGAGCUGGGGCAGCUCCAGGGGUCCCACAGGAGGAGCGAAUGGACUUCUUCAUUGGGCACCAGGGACAAAUCAACUCAGCUGGUGUUUGGCCCUGAGUCCCACUGCUCCAGAGUGGGAGUCUUGGGGAAGAGAAGGCCUGGCCUGCCUCAGGUGGGAGAGGGUAACCCGCAGAGUGGUACCCUGCAGAGAGAGGCGGCUCCACCAGAGCGGUUAGGUGCUGGGACCAGGGGAAGGGGCAGACGCUGGGGUGGCAGGUCAAAGUUUGACUCCUCCAGAAAAAUACCAGCUCCCCCAAAUGAGGGUGGGUCUAUCUGCAGGGGUCAUGUAACCCUGAUCAUUCAUGCUUUUCCUGGGCCUGAGAGUGGAUCUGGAAUACACUGUAUUAAAUAAUAAUAUUUAUUACUAUUUGGGUUGGUAUUUUCAGGGCUUUUCUCUAGUUUCUAGAUUUGCCCUCCUUUAGUGUUCCCACAUUUAUUUUAUUUUUGUAUUUAAUGUUAGUAUUUUCAUGUUAUAUUUGUACACACACAUGCAUGAUUGUUUCCAUGCCUUGAGUCCCUUGGUGCUAGUUGCAUUUUUAGGUUAUAUCAACUCUGCUACCCUGAGAAUCACGCUUGGCAUCUUCAGACUUUGUUUUUAAACCAACAAAUGAAGGACUGAUCUGCUCCUCUCAUCCCAGGGUCAGAGCACUGGCCUGGGAGCCAUCACUGGAGCCAGGAAAGCAGCCCUCGAUGCCUUGCUUAGGAUGAAACUUCUAGAAAACAGCCCAAUCUCCCUCAGCCUUGGUUUCCUGUCUGUGAAAUAAGCAUGCUGGUGUUCUACACCUAAUUCCAAAAGCUGAGAUUUUGUGCAAAAUUUCAGUUGUUGAAAACACACUGGGGGAAAAUGUGAUUGGAUGUACAUGCUGCGAUCCUUUAGAAUAACAAGUUGUGUGUGUCACUGUACCCUGAUGGUCUCCAAUAUGUUUUGUUGUGUCUCCGAGUAUUGUAAUUAUGUUAAUAAUGCUAUAAUAAAACUUAUCCAUGAAAUACA